CAUCCUACGGGAGGCAGCAGUGAGGAAUAUUGGUCAAUGGGCGGAAGCCUGAACCAGCCAAGUCGCGUGAGGGAUUAAGGCCCUGCGGGUCGUAAACCUCUUUUGCCGAGGAGCAGAGGUCCGGACGUGUCCGGGCCGGGAGAGUACCCGGAGAAAAAGCAUCGGCUAACUCCGUGCCAGCAGCCGCGGUAAUACGGAGGAUGCGAGCGUUAUCCGUAUUUAUUGGGUUUAAAGGGUGCGUAGUCGGGCAUUUAAGCCGGCGGUCAAAUGUCGAGGCUCCACCCCUGCCUGCCG
rnacentral:rRNA from 1 species